rnacentral:misc_RNA from 1 species
UCGUCGCCCUCGUCGCCCCUGACCUCCUGCCGGCGAAAUCGCCGUACACAGAGGAUCAGCUCCGGCAGCUGUUCAGCAUGUUUGAUCGAGACGGGAAUGGGUUUAUUACGGCCGCAGAGCUGGCACAUUCGAUGGCGAGGCUGGGGCAUGCCCUGACUGCAAAGGAGCUGACGGGGAUGAUCAAGGAGGCGGAUACGGAUGGGGAUGGGCGGAUCAACUUUAAG